UGCCUUCAAGGUAUAUUGUGGUCAUACGCGAGGUGAGGUUCGUACGAACCUUGCAAUUUGCCUUGGCUGGUUUUGCCUGUUGUUCCUACCCCUUUUUAUAGCCCAUUCAAAAUUACGACUCAUUUUUUCGUUGCAGGAGAGAGUCAGUGGGACCCUAAAAAUAUACCGUCUUAUUUUCAAAAUAUUUUUUCGCUUCCGUUAUGGCUCUUUUUUGGCAUUUGUAUACCCUAUUUCCUUUAAUUUGCAUUACAUUUCUGUUUUCCAAGGGGAUUUGAAACAUAAGUAAUCUACUCUCAGAUUGACAUGUUUUCGACCUAUUCACGCAUUUGAGUUUCGAUGCGAGAAUGUCUGUUAAUGACACCGAUUCUUCGAUAUCGUAAUCCUGGUAAUUGUCGUGGCCUACUACAAUUUGGUUUCGGAUUUUCGCAGAAAAACCGCGCAUGCAGGCGUUGCCAGAUCGGAAAGUAAAAAAAAAAAAAAAAGCUGUGCAACUAAGAAUGGAAUGGACUUAAUUCUCCACCGUAACUUUCCCACGACAACGGAAACACACUGUGAAUUGUGUAUGCAAUUUUCACUCCAAUAUACGUUGGCAGCCACUCAGCAACACACACAUGCAGAGCUCCCACAUGCGCUGCGUACGUGUACUGUGCAUGCGGAUGUGUGCGAGAAGCCCGCGGAAAAGCACAACAAGAACAACAAUAGAACGGAGAUUAUCAUACGAUACUUGUGAGCACCAAUAAAACGAAUCCACAUGAGCGUUUCACAGAGCAA